rnacentral:lncRNA from 1 species
CCUGGUUUUGGUCGCAGUAGCUCUCCCAGCGUAAUCAGGUAUCAUCCUCGUUGCUUGGUAAGCUUAGUGUUGAUAAUUGCUAGUUGAUUGCCUGAAGCAAGACAAUGAUUGAAAUGACACGGCUAAGUGCAAAUUGGAAUGCUUAUGAAUUAUGUUUUUAUUAGUUUCUAAUUUUAUAUUAAGAUUCAUGUGAAUGUCUGAAGUUACUGUCAUGUGACUGAUGAAUAUUAGCUUAGGAAGAUCGGUGGAUAUUUUCGAAUCUCAGUUGCUCCGCAUUUGAUAGUAUUGGAAGUGAAUUCCUGUUACAGGUCAGCAUCUGAGUCCAGUCGGGCCACUAGACCUACUGCAAGUUCGGUCAAGACAGCUCCUACUACAAUUGAUGAUCCCUUUAUGGUGUUAGAGUCAACGUCAGCUCCUGCAACAGCACCAUCAUCGGAGUCCUUUCCAGAUCCAUUAGAUGAGAUUGGUA